rnacentral:lncRNA from 1 species
CAGUGAGUGGGGGAGAGACAGAAGAAUAACCUCAGAAUGGAGGAAGAAGAAUAUGAGGAAGUUGUGGAGUACUACAUUGAAGAGACAAUUAUUGAGGAGGGUGAACCGGAGGAGGUGAUCACUGAGAUCACUGAGACCAUUAGUACAGAGGUCACGGGUCCUCAGACUACCACCUAUACUAUUGAGCAUGGAAAACCUACUAUUGAGCGUGGAAAACCUACUAUUGAGCGUGAAAAAUCUACUACUGAGCAUAAAAAACCUUCUGUUGAGGAUGCAGCACCUCCAGUCAGAAAGAGGACAGUACGGACAAAAGUGGACCCAUCUAAGUUUUUGACACCUUAUCUGCAACACAGUAAUAA